GUUAUCUGAUUGGAGUCAUGCUAAUCCACCUGCUCUGUCCCCCAGUAAAGAAGCAUACUAUGGAUCAAAAUUCUUCUUAAACACUAUGGAACAAGACUGAAACCUCUGCUGUCUGAGAUCACCAUCUAAAUGUAGCUGAAAACAGAUGUAAGAUCUGCUGCUGAAGCCUUCUCUCCAAGCUGAACUUGUUCUUUCAGCCUCUCCUCACGUGCGCCCCAGUCAUCUGGGUGGCAUUUCAGAGCCCUGAGCGCACCAAGUCCUGCAGCUCCUUUCCUGAAGGAAGCAGAGACCUCCACGUGCUAGUUGAGAGCUCCGUUUAAGCUC